rnacentral:rRNA from 1 species
AAACCGCUUAGGGGUUAAGCCCGAUGAACCUGAAUAUCCGAAAUGAGAAAUUCAAUAUUAUUUUGUUAAAAGAUGGUAUGCACUUUUCUCAUAGUAGGACAUUGCGAUCCAUUAAUAAAAUCUCUUUGAGAUAGUUUAUCAAACGACCCAAUUAGUUAGUUUAAUCUAUCUGCAAUAUUUAUUUAUUGUAUGGUUAAUGCUUAUUUGGUGAUCUGGUAAACAGUUGAUGGAGCUUAAAAAUCAUGCAACCAUGCAUAUGUAUCACGAUUUAUUUAAUUAAUUUUAUUUAAAUGCAGUGAUGGCAUGUAUUUGAUUAGCAAUGCGAUAGAUUUGGGAUACCUUCGGGACCCGUCUUGAAACACGGACCAAGAAGUCUAACAUGUGUGUAAGUCAUUGGGUAUUUUUUGUUGAAACCUAAAGGCGAAAUUAAAAUAACUAUAUUUUAAAUGGGAUUACAAGUAAUUUUUUUUAAAUAAUUAUUUCUCCAUCCCGGGGCGUUCUAUUUGAACAUGGUUUAAGCAAUUAAAUCCUCUGUUUGAGAGCGUACCUUGAAC